GUUUCGGCUCGUAAAGCUCUGUUGUUAAAGAAGAACACGUAUGAGAGUAACUGUUCAUACGUUGACGGUAUUUAACCAGAAAGUCACGGCUAACUACGUGCCAGCAGCCGCGGUAAUACGUAGGUGGCAAGCGUUAUCCGGAUUUAUUGGGCGUAAAGAGAGUGCAGGCGGUUUUCUAAGUCUGAUGUGAAAGCCUUCGGCUUAACCGGAGAAGUGCAUCGGAAACUGGAUAACUUGAGUGCAGAAGAGGGUAGUGGAACUCCAUGUGUAGCGGUGGAAUGCGUAGAUAUAUGGAAGAACACCAGUGGCGAAGGCGGCUACCUGGUCUGCAACUGACGCUGAGACUCGAAAGCAUGGGUAGCGAACAGGAUUAGAUACCCUGGUAG
rnacentral:rRNA from 1 species